AGAGUUUGAUCAUGGCUCAGGAUGAACGCUGGCGGCGUGCUUAACACAUGCAAGUCGAACGAACCUUCGGGUUAGUGGCGGACGGGUGAGUAACGCGUGAGAAUCUGCCCUCAGGAGGGGGAUAACGGUUGGAAACGACCGCUAAUACCCCAUAUGCCUACUGGUGAAACGAAUUUCGCCUGAGGAUGAGCUCGCGUCUGAUUAGCUAGUUGGUGAGGUAAUGGCUCACCAAGGCUUCGAUCAGUAGCUGGUCUGAGAGGAUGAUCAGCCACACUGGGACUGAGACACGGCCCAGACUCCUACGGGAGGCAGCAGUGGGGAAUUUUCCGCAAUGGGCGAAAGCCUGACGGAGCAACGCCGCGUGAGGGACGAAGGCCUCUGGGCUGUAAACCUCUUUUCUCAAGGAAGAAGAUAUGACGGUACUUGAGGAAUAAGCCACGGCUAAUUCCGUGCCAGCAGCCGCGGUAAUACGGGAGUGGCAAGCGUUAUCCGGAAUUAUUGGGCGUAAAGCGUCCGCAGGCGGCUUUUCAAGUCUGCUGUUAAAGCGUGGAGCUUAACUCCAUCAUGGCAGUGGAAACUGAAAGGCUUGAGUAUGGUAGGGGCAGAGGGAAUUCCCGGUGUAGCGGUGAAAUGCGUAGAUAUCGGGAAGAACACCAGUGGCGAAGGCGCUCUGCUGGGCCAUUACUGACGCUCAUGGACGAAAGCCAGGGGAGCGAAAGGGAUUAGAUACCCCUGUAGUCCUGGCCGUAAACGAUGAACACUAGGUGUCGGGGGAAUCGACCCCUUCGGUGUCGUAGCUAACGCGUUAAGUGUUCCGCCUGGGGAGUACGCACGCAAGUGUGAAACUCAAAGGAAUUGACGGGGGCCCGCACAAGCGGUGGAGUAUGUGGUUUAAUUCGAUGCAACGCGAAGAACCUUACCAGGGUUUGACAUCCUGCGAACCUCUUAGAAAUUUGAGGGUGCCUUCGGGAAUGCAGUGACAGGUGGUGCAUGGCUGUCGUCAGCUCGUGUCGUGAGAUGUUGGGUUAAGUCCCGCAACGAGCGCAACCCACGUUUUUAGUUGCCAGCAUUUAGUUGGGCACUCUAGAAAGACCGCCGGUGAUAAACCGGAGGAAGGUGUGGAUGACGUCAAGUCAUCAUGCCCCUUACACCCUGGGCUACACACGUACUACAAUGCUACGGACAAAGGGCAGCAAACUCGCGAGAGCUAGCAAAUCCCAUAAACCGUGGCUCAGUUCAGAUCGUAGGCUGCAACUCGCCUACGUGAAGUAGGAAUCGCUAGUAAUCGCAGGUCAGCAUACUGCGGUGAAUACGUUCCCGGGCCUUGUACACACCGCCCGUCACACCAUGGAAGUUGGCCAUGCCCGAAGUCGUUACUCCAACCCUUGUGGAGGAGGAUGCCGAAGGUAGGGCUAAUGACUGGGGUGAAGUCGUAACAAGGUAGC
rnacentral:rRNA from 1 species